AUCUUCCAUCAUGUCAAGGUAUGUGCUCCAAAAUGCAAAUGUGUGGUUACAGUUGUUUUUCACCACAAAUUCUUCAUAACCUUGCAGUAACUGCUGAAAUGUGUCUGAUGUUAGCAUGCCCUUGAACUCUUCAGAGGGAAAACACUCCUGCAGAUCUGUUGCCACUUUUAAAGCAACUGCAUUUUGUUCUUGUGUGAGUGUGUCCAAGUAUGCCCACCAUCGCAGUUUCUGGAGUGCUUCCAUCAGGAGUUUGUGAGCCCGUAUGCUCCUGUUGUAGUGAUGGCCGGAGAUCACUCCAUUGAUUGAGCCUGUGGCCACCAGGUCAGACUCAAUCAAGAUGUCCUGAAAGCCUGCAUCACCAUACAACUUUCCUAUGCAUGACAGAUACGCCAUUGCUGUGUGGAAUUCUCCCAUCCUCACUACGAUUCUCUCAGACUGUCAGCAAUGGCAAUGGAGCGGCUCAGGAUGGUGUGGACAGUGUUGAGAUCAGUCGGACUGGCGUCAAUCACUGGGAGGUAGCCAAUAUGUGUAGAUGGUGGUAGUACUGUGUCUUCCUUCAACAUUAUAUUAUACCCUGUCCAUCCAGAAAGGAUUUUGUGCUGGGCCUCAGGUACUUUCAGUAAAAAGAAUGCAGCAUCAAUUCUUCUACCGGUAGUUUGGGCAUAUCUGUAUUGGUCCUGAUGGAGAUCAAUCUUCAAUGCAAAGUUCUGUGGACCAGACCGCUUUCCUCUUGUGUAUGUUGAAAGAUUCAGUGGAGGAGGAUGAACCGACCGCUCUCGUGUUCUCUGUCUGGGUAAUGUGUCUGAUGAGCAAGGGCAGUAUCAUGCUCAAGGACCUGGGAAUUAGAUGAGCAGUGACCCAGACCAUUUAACAGCCCUAUAAGCUGUGCAGAGCCAGUCAUAUGCCGAACUGCCAUUGCAAGUGAGCACUGUUUAGGCAUGAGCCACCUUCCUCUGGUUGCCAGGGUAAUAAUGUCCUGACAAGUGGACACUAUCUUUCUGUUGUCCCCUGAAGUGACAUCAACACGUUCAUCUGACGGUUGUGAUGACAUUCCUGAUAUCCAUGCAAUGAAGUUAAAAAGUUGAUGAGGAGGAAGCAGAGGAGAAGGCAACUUCAUGCACAAUCUCGUCAGCUGACAGAUUGUCCACAUAUACAAGAUACCGGGUAUAAUCUCGAUAGCAAGUGAAGUGAUACCGUGCUUCACUAGCCACCAAGUCCCUGUCUUGGAUCUGGAGAAGGAGAGACUCGUCCCUUUUCUCUUCAGCGGCGAGUAGCAAUUUCCCGGCAUGGAGUGUUUCACACUGUUAGCUUUUCUUUUACCCUUUUCCUGCUGUGUGACUGAACCUUGUACUUCUCAUGUUUGCAUAUAAUGCAUUGUACUGGAAGCAGGUGUGGGGCCCGCUUGGACGUGCAGGAAUCACAGGCGUAAGAUCUCAGAGCCCGUGUUUUAACUGGAGUUGCCUCCCCAUCCUCUGCCUCUACCACUAAAAGUGCAAAACAAUUGAUUUAGGUUCUGCACCCUUCCCCACAUCACCUAUUAAAGAAAAAUGGUUUGUAACUUUCAGCAGGGUAUAUUGGUUCCACCUGUUCCCUUAACACGGGUAAUAAACCUGUUUCACAGCUUUCAGGUGUCCGUCCUUGAUGUUAAUGAGGCCAUAAUAGGAAGGGUUAAUUUUUGCAGGGU